rnacentral:rRNA from 1 species
AUUGAACGCUGGCGGCAGGCCUAACACAUGCAAGUCGAGCGGAUGAAGGGAGCUUGCUCCUGGAUUCAGCGGCGGACGGGUGAGUAAUGCCUAGGAAUCUGCCUGGUAGUGGGGGAUAACGUCCGUAAACGGGCGCUAAUACCGCAUACGUCCUGAGGGAGAAAGGGAGGGAUCUUCGGACCUCGCGCUAUCUGAUGAGCCUAGGUCGGAUUAGCUAGUUGGUGGGGUAAAGGCCUACCAAGGCGACGAUCCGUAACUGCUCUGAGAGGAUGAUCAGUCACACUGGAACUGAGACACGGUCCAGACUCCUACGGGAGGCAGCAGUGGGGAAUAUUGGACAAUGGGCGAAAGCCUGAUCCAGCAACGCCGCGUGUGUGAAGAAGGUCUUCGGAUUGUAAAGCACUUUAAGUUGGGAGGAAGGGAAGUAAGUUAAUACCUUGCUGUCUUGACGUUACCAAAAGAAAAAGCCACGGCUAACUUCGUG